AUUCCUCAACCUUCUGCUAUUUCUUGAUAGCAGAAGGCUUGGACUUUGGAGGUUCUUGCUGGCCUCUCCUUCUAGAAGCCAGCUCCUCUUAAAUGGAUUAGCAGGGUCCGCCUUUAGUCGAUCCUCGACGUGAUAAACCAUUUCUACGUCUUGGACUCGGCUCUUCUGAGACCUGCUUCUAAUCGUCCGAGUCGCCCUUUCUUAAUGGGGUGCACUUUUGGACCCACGAACC
rnacentral:misc_RNA from 1 species